rnacentral:lncRNA from 1 species
AUAUUGUAUGUUAACUACCGACAGUAGGUAUAGACAAAUACUGGUGAUAGACGGUAUAUAGGAGCACUAUAUUGUAUGUUAACCACCGACGGUAGGUAUAGACAAAUACUGCUGAUAGACGGUAUAUAGGAGCACUAUAUUGUAUGUUAACCACCGACGGUAGGUAUAGACAUAUACUGCUGAUAGACGGUAUAUAGGUGCACUAUAUUGUAUGUAACCUUCCAACAGUAGGUAUAGACAAAUACUGUUGAUAGACGGUAUAUAGGAACACUAUAUUGUAUGUUAACUACCGACAGUAGGUAUAGACAAAUACUGGUGAUAGACGGUAUAUACAUGUAGGAGCACUAUAUUGUAUGUUAACUACCAACAGUAGGUAUAGACUAAAACUCUUGAUAGACGGUAUAUAUAAUAGCACUAUAUCGUAUGUUAAUCACCGACGGUAGGUAUAGACAAAUACUGGUGAUAGACGGUAUAUAGGAGCACUAUAUUGUAUGUUAACCACCGACGGUAGGUACAGACAAAUACUGUUGAUAUACGGUGUAUAGGAGCACUAUACUGUAUGUUAACUACCGACAGUAGGUAUAGACAAAUACUGUUGAUAGACGGUAUAUAGGAGCACUAUAUUGUAUUGUUAACCACGACAGGUAGGCGUAUAGACAAAAUACUGGUGAUAGCACGGUUAUUUGAUAGGAGCACUAUAAUUGUAUGGUUAACCACGACGGUAGGUAUAGAUAAAUACUGUUGAUAGACGGGUAUAAUAGAACACUUAUUGAAUAUUGUUAACUACGAAAGUAGUAUAGACAAAUACUGGUGAUAAGACGUAUAUAGGAGCACUAUAUUUUACGUUAACCACCGACGGUAGGUAUCAAGAAAUGCUGUUAAUAGACGGUAUAUGGAGCACUAUAUUGUAUGUUAACACCGACGGUAGGUAAAUUCAGAUACUUUUGACAGACGGUAUAUAUGAGCACUAUAUACGGACCAUAUAAUUACGUUAUAUUGACCAUCGACGGUAGGGAUAAAUGAAAACUGUGAUAGGACGGUUUAUAGGAGCACUUAAUUGUAUGUUUUACACCGACAGUAUGUAUAAGACACAUGAUUUUAAUAGACAGCACUAUAUUUUACGUAAACCACCGACGGUAGGUAUAGACAAAUACUUUUGAUAUACGGUAUAUAGGAGUACUGUAUUGCUUGUUAACCACCGAUGGUAGGUAUAAACAGGUACUGUUGAUAUACGGUAUAUAGGAGUACUAUAUGUCAUGUUAACCACCGACGGUAGGUAUAGACUAAAUACUGUUGAUAGACAGUAUAUAGGAGGACUAUAUUGCAUGUUAACCACCGACGAUAGGUAUAGACAAAUACUGUUGAUAUACGGUAUAUAGGUGCACUGUAUUGCAUGUUAACCACCGACGGUGGGUAUAGAAACAGGUUAAAACAUAGUGUUGAUAGACGGUAUAUAGGAGCAAUAUAUUGCAUGUUAACCACCGAUGGUAGGUUUAGAAAAAUACUGAUAAUAGACGGUAUAUAGGUUCACUGUAUUAUAUGUUAACCACGACGGUAGGUAGAGAAAAAUUAGUAUUGCUAGACGGUAUAUAGAGUACUGUAAUGCUUGUUAACCACCGAUGGUAGGUAUAGACAGGUACUUUUGAUAUACGGGUAUAAGGAGUCUGUAUUGCUUGUUUAACACGAUGGUAGGUAUAAACAGGUACUGCUUGAUAUACGGUAUAUGGGCUACUAUAUGUCAUGUUAAACCACCAACGGUAGGUAUAAACUAAAUACUGUUGAUUAGAAGGAACUAUAUUGCAUUGUUAACCACCGAACGAUAGGUAUAGACAAAAUCCUGUUUGAUAUACGCUAUAUAGGUGCAGUCUGUAUUGCAUGUUAACCACGACGGUGGGUAUAGAAACAGAUUAGAAAUAUAGUGUUUGUAGACAGUAUAUAGGAGCACUAUAUUGCAUGUUAACCACCGGAUGGUAGGUUUAGAAAAAUACUGAUAAUAGACGGUAUAUAGGUUCACUGUAUUAUAUGUUAACCACCGACGGUAGGUAGAGAAAAAUAGUAUUGCUAGACGGUAUAUAGGAGUACUGUAAUGCUUGUUAACCACCGAUGUUAGGUAUAGACAGGUACUGUUGAUAUACGGUAUUUAGGAGUACUGUAUGGCAUGUUAACCACCGACGGUAGGUACAGACAAAUACUGUUGAUAGACGAUAUAUAGGAGUACUGUAUGGCAUGUUAACCACCAACGGUAGGUAUAGACAAAUACUGUUGAUAGACAGUAUAUAAGAGGACUAUAUUGCAUGUUAACCACCGACGGUAGGUAUAGACAAAUACUGUUGAUAGGACGGUAUAUAGGAGCACUAUAUUGUAUGUUAACUACCAACAGGUAGGUAUAGACAAAUACUGUUGAUAGACGGUAUAUAGGAGCACUAUAUUGUAUGUUAACUACCGACACUAGGUAUAGACAAAUACUGUUGAUAGACGGUAUAUGGGAG